rnacentral:rRNA from 1 species
CCUACGGGAGGCUGCAGUGAGGAAUAUUGGUCAAUGGACGAGAGUCUGAACCAGCCAAGUAGCGUGAAGGAUGACUGCCCUAUGGGUUGUAAACUUCUUUUAUAUGGGAAUAAAAUGUUCCACGUGUGGCAUUUUGUAUGUACCAUAUGAAUAAGGAUCGGCUAACUCCGUGCCAGCAGCCGCGGUAAUACGGAGGAUCCGGGCGUUAUCCGGAUUUAUUGGGUUUAAAGGGAGCGUAGGCGGAUUGUUAAGUCAGUUGUGAAAGUUUGCGGCUCAACCGUAACAUUGCAGUUGAAACUGGCGGGCUUGAGUACGGCAGAGGUAGGCGGAAUUCGUGGUGUAGCGGUGAAAUGCUUAGAUAUCACGAAGAACUCCGAUUGCGAAGGCAGUUCACUGGACUGCAACUGACGCUGAGGCUCGAAAGUGUGGGUAUCGAACAGGAUUAGAUACCCGAGUAGUC